AGAAUAUGAAACAGAUGAUAGAGAUGUAUAAACACAAGACACAUGAGCAAACACGUGGUUUUGGAAGAUGGUAGAAAGAAAAAUUAGAAGAAUUGUAGGAGAAAAGUGAGUUUUGUGUGGAUGUUUCAACAAAUAUAUAGAUAUUUAUAGAGUUUUUGGGUGACUUUUGAGUUAAAUAAUUUUUUAUAAUUAUUUUAACCAUUGACUUUAAAUUUGGGCCAUUAG
rnacentral:lncRNA from 1 species